rfam:Elusimicrobia bacterium RIFOXYA2_FTLL_53_38 rifoxya2_full_scaffold_256, whole genome shotgun sequence.
UUACGAUAAUAGCAAAGCCGGCGAAAGCCGGCGGCGCAAAGCCGCGACCCGCGAAAUAUGCGGGGGUCAGGUUGCCGAA